rnacentral:rRNA from 1 species
UACAGAGGGUGCGAACGUUGCUCGGAUUUACUGGGCGUAAAGCGCGUGUAGGCGGACUCGCAAGUCGGUUGUGAAAUCCCUGGGCUCAACCUAGGAACUGCAUCCGAAACUGCUUGUCUUGAGUAAUGGAGAGGGUGGCGGAAUUCCCGGUGUAGAGGUGAAAUUCGUAGAUAUCGGGAGGAACAUCAGUGGCGAAGGCGGCCACCUGGACAUUUACUGACGCUGAGACGCGAAAGCGUGGGGAGCAAAC